GUAAAGUUACUCCAUUUGUGACCUAGAGGUUAUAGCUUCAAGCCACGGAAACAGCGUCUCUGCAAAGUUGGGGCUAGGCUGCUGUGAUACAUAAUCACAGGUAGUCCUUUCCUUUGAACUCCAUCCAUGUUGAGGGUGUGAUUCUACCCAAGACUCUGGCAUAUUGCUUAGAGAUUUAUUUGCAAAAGAGCUUGCAAAUAACUUCCUUUUGAAUUAGUUUUAAAUAAUGCUAUAUGAAAAUUGCUUGUUUCUUGACAAAAUGUAGCAAGUCAACAUUAUGAAUAUAGGGUUCUUUGCUUUUCCAUUUCCAAAUUUUUCUGUUAGAGGUGUAAGGCUAAUUUAACAUGCACCCUUGAUACUUAUCUUCAUGUUUAUCUUUCAAAGAAAAAUGAGUUGUGAUUUUGGGUCUACAUUUAAUUUGCUUUGAAUAACACAUUCAUGUAGAUUUUUAUAUUAAAUCAUUGUACUUUUUUUCUAUCAAAUAGGUAUAUAUUGUGUACAGCUUUUU
rnacentral:misc_RNA from 1 species